AGCCAUUGUACCUGCACAAAGACAAACGCAAACAAGCACCGGAUGGAAAUAAGACUCACUUCCUGCAGUCCAUGCACAGUGUAGAGGGGUGGAAAUACUGUGGAAGCUGGUAGCUGUCAUCAGCACAUCCGGCCUACUGUGUGCUGCUGCUAGUGAUGUGGAGGGGCUUUUAUACCUCCUUCCCUCCUCCUCCUCCUCCUCCUCCUUAUUGGUAUUGGCUGGUCAUCUGGAUGCAACGUUUUGUUAUUGCACAGUUUCAGUUGCAAAACUGUGGGAGGUUUCAUCGCCUUGCUUAAGGAUCCUUAGCAGAGCAGACGCUUGUUGUCAGAGAGAGGAAAUCUGUUAAUAAACCUCUUUUAAGAAACUGUCUCUUCCAUCACAUCACCCCACUGCCUUAAAUAGACAUGGCAGCUUUUUGCAGAGGUGUCAUCUGUUCUGUCAACCACACUCACAGUUAAAGUAAUAGAGACAUAAAGAUAAACGUAUGUAUGUUAAAAAAAAAAAAAGAUAGACAGACACUCUGUAAUGUAAAGACUAGGGCUGAACAUUCUUUUGUAAGAAUGAGAACUUUAAGAUAUAAAGCAUGUAUGAGUUACACUUUUAGUUUGAAUAGAAGAUAGAACAGUCAAAAUAAGACUUAUUAAAUUGCAGCCUUUGUGAUUUGCUAAUUGAAUUAUUUCAAAUUGCUAUUUGGAUUUGAAUAUGUUUCAUUGUUUUCCGUCUUGGUGAUGAGUUUCUCAUCAGUUUGUGCAUAUGUAGCUGCUGCUACUACAUGUGGCUGCUGUGCACAAUGUAUACAAUCUUUCUAUAGUUCAGCAGUGAGUUAACACUAUCCUAAAAUCUCCAUUUAUGGCAUUUAUGUCAGUGGCAAGGUUCAAAUGCAGCCAAACUACAAAGGAAUGUGUAACCUGUCUGUGGAGCAUAAUAGUGAACAACCUAGUUUUAAUCACAAGCUAUCUUGGAACCAUAUUUGGUGAGCACACCACAGGUCAAAUUCUAUGCCUAAUUGUGCACAUGCUGAAUGCAUUACCCUGCUAUCAUUAUGCAGCUUUUAUCAGGCCGCACUUCAAGUCAAGAAAACAUUGGAGAACAUUCAGCAAAUGAUCAUUUAGAGGUGGAUGUUUGUGUAGAAUACACACAAAUAUGGACUUUUGGGUUACGUAACAAUACAGCACAAUCUGUAUGUUCUCAUACUGCAUCCAUAUAAAUGUAUUCAUAAUUAUUCAAAAGACGAAUGAGUACACAAAUCAUUUUAAUACAAUUCUUAAUAACGACAUGACACAUGGGAAAACUCCCUUUUUAAACACAUGUUGCCGUGAUACUGCGAAUGCUUUGGUAUUUUGGCUCAGGAACCAGUUUCACAUACCGUACACCAUCAGACAGCUUCCAUGAUAAAUGUGAUUUCUGUUCUUGUACAUGAUUUACACCCAGGACAUUAGUGUACAUGUGAUUUAAAGAUGCUCUGGGCCCACUGCCUCAAUACAAUAUGGAUUCAGCCAACGUUGAUUUAAAAGAUGAAACCAGAUAUUUAGUUGAAGAAAGAGGCAGUCAAUUUGGACCACUUAGAUGUGCUACAGCCAUCUGCUGCGGAGUCUUUGUCAGAGUUGCCAUAGAGACAAGAGCAAACAAAGAAACGGUAUUUCUGUCAUUUUGCAACCCCAUCUCCCCUGUCUGUAGUUAAAGAUUUGAGAUAAACGGCUCAAGCAAAACCUGAGACUUUUGGCUACGAUGCGGAACAAAGAGGGUAACAACUGUUAUUCCACUGUGAAACAAGGCACAGUCAUGUCGUGGUAUCAUUUAAUCUGUUGUAUGUAAGCACUGCUGUGUGUUUUUGUGAGAAUGUGUGGCCAUGUUUGUCGCAGAAAGCCCUACCUGUGAUACAUGCUGUGUGUGUGUGUGUAUGGGAAUGCCACACUCUCUCUUGGCCUCCUUCAUGUCAUGCUGAACCAUCUUGCAGAUGGUUCAGCAUAUUACUAUUCUCUGUGGGCACAACAGGCUCCACUCGAGGUUUUGGCUGCCUACCGGCUAGACUAAUUGUAUACACAAACAGGUUUGUUGCAAAACAAAGACAGUGAAUGACCUUAUCUGAUUGUAUGUAUUUAACAUCGGGGUUCCCAAACCCUGGGCUGGGGGCCGGUACCAUGUCUUGGGCUGGGCCAACCCAAGCCUAAUAAUCUUGUACACAAAGCAAGCCUGUGUUUUGUAAUUUUCCGUUGGAAUGUAUUACAUGUCACAAGGGAAUACACAUUAAUUUGAAAGUACCAAAACAAAACAAGACUUCGCAGCUGAGCAGACAUUAAAAACAGACUGUGCUCACACAUAGUAACAGAACUAAGACUUGCUUUCAAAGUGAGUGAUUUAUUUCCAUGUGUUUUGAGCAGUGGUUAAGGUUAAAUGAUGCUUUUACUGUAAUUUAUAUAACUUAACAUGGCAAUAAAAUAGAUUGGUAUCAUCAUCUCCGUAGCAUUCCCUCUUUCACAAGCUCGACAACUGCUGCCGUGAAUCCUUGCUUUCCAUGAUAUUGUUUACAGCCUCAAACACACACUCACAGGCAUCUCAUUUUUAUAAAUGCUGAUUUUUAUGAGAUCACACGAGGAUCAGGAGACAAGAAAGUCA